GACAGAGGAUGCAAGCGUUAUCCGGAAUGAUUGGGCGUAAAGCGUCUGUAGGGGGCUUUUCAAGUCCGCCGUCAAAUCCCAGGGCUCAACCCUGGACAGGCGGUGGAAACUACCAAGCUGGAGUACGGUAGGGGCAGAGGGAAUUUCCGGUGGAGCGGUGAAAUGCAUUGAGAUCGGAAAGAACACCAACGGCGAAAGCAGAUCUCUGGGCCGUAACUGACGCUGAGGAGCGAAAGCAUGGGGAGCGAACAGG
rnacentral:rRNA from 1 species